rnacentral:rRNA from 1 species
GCUGGCGGCAGGCCUAACACAUGCAAGUCGAGCGGUAACAUUUCUAGCUUGCUAGAAGAUGACGAGCGGCGACGGGUGAGUAACGCGUAGAAAUCUACCUAGUAGUGGGGGAUAGCCCAGAGAAAUUUGGAUUAAUACCGCAUACGCCCUACGGGGGAAAGCGGGGGAUCUUCGGACCUCGUGCUAUUAGAUGAGUCUGCGUCGGAUUAGCUUGUUGGUGAGGUAAUGGCACACCAAGGCGACGAUCCGUAGCUGGUCUGAGAGGAUGACCAGCCACACUGGAACUGAGACACGGUCCAGACUCCUACGGGAGGCAGCAGUGGGGAAUAUUGCACAAUGGGCGCAAGCCUGAUGCAGCCAUGCCGCGUGUGUGAAGAAGGCCUUAGGGUUGUAAAGCACUUUCAGCAGUGAGGAAAGGGGUGUCGUUAAUAGCGCCAUCCUGUGACGUUAACUGCAGAAGAAGGACCGGCUAACUCCGUG